rnacentral:rRNA from 1 species
GAUGAACGCUGGCGGCGUGCCUAAUACAUGCAAGUCGAGCGAACGGACGAGAAGCUUGCUUCUCUGAUGUUAGCGGCGGACGGGUGAGUAACACGUGGAUAACCUACCUAUAAGACUGGGAUAACUUCGGGAAACCGGAGCUAAUACCGGAUAAUAUUUUGAACCGCAUGGUUCAGAAGUGAAAGACGGUCUUGCUGUCACUUAUAGAUGGAUCCGCGCUGCAUUAGCUAGUUGGUAAGGUAACGGCUUACCAAGGCAACGAUGCAUAGCCGACCUGAGAGGGUGAUCGGCCACACUGGAACUGAGACACGGUCCAGACUCCUACGGGAGGCAGCAGUAGGGAAUCUUCCGCAAUGGGCGAAAGCCUGACGGAGCAACGCCGCGUGAGUGAUGAAGGUCUUCGGAUCGUAAAACGCUGUUAUUAGGGAAGAACAUAUGUGUAAGUAACUGUGCACAUCUUGACGGUACCUAAUCAGAAAGCCACGGCUAACUACGU